rnacentral:rRNA from 1 species
UGCAAGUCGAACGGGCACUUCGGUGCUAGUGGCAGACGGGUGAGUAACGCGUGGGAACGUGCCUUUCGGUUCGGAAUAAUCCAGGGAAACUUGGACUAAUACCGGAUACGCCCUUCGGGGGAAAGAUUUAUCGCCGAAAGAUCGGCCCGCGUCUGAUUAGCUAGUUGGUGAGGUAAAGGCUCACCAAGGCGACGAUCAGUAGCUGGUCUGAGAGGAUGAUCAGCCACAUUGGGACUGAGACACGGCCCAAACUCCUACGGGAGGCAGCAGUGGGGAAUAUUGGACAAUGGGCGCAAGCCUGAUCCGGCCAUGCCGCGUGAGUGAUGAAGGCCUUAGGGUUGUAAAGCUCUUUUGUCCGGGAAGAUAAUGACUGUACCGGAAGAAUAAGCCCCGGCUAACUUCGUGCCAGCAGCCGCGGUAAUACGAAGGGGGCUAGCGUUGCUCGGAAUCACUGGGCGUAAAGGGCGCGUAGGCGGACUUUUAAGUCGGAGGUGAAAGCCCAGGGCUCAACCCUGGAAUUGCCUUCGAUACUGGGAGUCUUGAGUUCGGAAGAGGUUGGUGGAACUGCGAGUGUAGAGGUGAAAUUCGUAGAUAUUCGCAAGAACACCGGUGGCGAAGGCGGCCAACUGGUCCGAUACUGACGCUGAGGCGCGAAAGCGUGGGGAGCAAACAGGAUUAGAUACCCUGGUAGUCCACGCC